UAAUAGGUUUUACUUAAAACCAAUUUAUAAUAAAUAUGGGUUUGUAU
rfam:Picea glauca, whole genome shotgun sequence.